ensembl:lncRNA
GCCUUAUUUAUCAACUCAUCUGUCAGUUUGAAAUAUAUUCUGGCCAUAAUCAAUGUUUAGUAAAACACUGUUUUCAACAAACUGCUGUUGUCUAAAGUGCGCCUCACUACAAGAGCAAAAUAUCAAGACAUUUCCACAUUGAUCCUGCUGUAAUCAAUCCUCAGCCAGAGCAUCACAUAUUAACUUCUCAGAGGGGUUUUAUUUUUAAAUAGGCCAACAUGACAGUGGGCAGACUGACAGGUGGUACGCCUGCAAGCUUGACGCUGAUGGAGAGCCACAGACGAUGGUCAGGCAGGUGACAAGUUCAGUCCUACUGUCAGCACUUAGGAUUUCCCCAUAGGCACACAAAUUCUGACAGCAGCUGCAGAGAGAAGAGAGACGCACACACAAACGUGCACACAUUUUGAUAUACUCUUGUAUGGAAGUGCGAUUUCAUAAAAUUUUUACAUCUUCUUUCAUUUUACCAAUUUCUAGGUUCACCUUCCGGAGGCGACUUGGUGUGUUUACGUACAUCUAUUGCAUUGCUCAUCAGUUUCAACCGUUUAUUGAGGUGUUACCUCAUGCAUUGUGUUUCAUAUCGUUUUGCAAGUCUUUGAGUUUCAUCCUUUCAGCAGACUUAUCACAUGUCCUCACCCUUAACUGAUCCAACCAAACAAGAUUCAGCAGGUGGAUUGGAAACAACAUGAGCCACCCAGGAAAAAUC